CUCUUCGGACAGACGGCGGGUGGCUUAGAGGCUCAUUGAAUCACUCAGGCGCUGGCUGUGAUUCAGCUCUCACGCCCGGGAGCCACCGCCGUGAGAUGAACCGCUCCUUCUUUGUGGGUUCUCGCUCGCUCUCUCUCUCUCUCUCCAGGAUCUGGGCCAGGUGAGCAGCGGCGGGAAAAGGGAGGAGCGGCCUCGCCUUUGGCCCAGGUAUCCUAGGGUGGAAAUCAACCGACUUCGGAGGGGAAAAGAGGCCGGUGAAGCGAGCCUUAGGCUCGAAGGGGUGAAGGUUGCUUUCCCCCUUGCUCCGCCCCGCGAUGCGCGGGAACGAAAGGGCACCAACGGGCCAGCCACGGAUCGCCGUCGCCGUCUGUAGCGGAGGAGGAGGAGGAGGAGGAGAGCUGGGCGACAAGAAAAUGGAUAAUUACGCUUUUUCUAACGCAGUUUAGAGAAACGACCCUUGCUGAAAUCAAGGGGGUGUACAAGAACCACGAAUCAGGUAGACCGGUUCUGAGGGCAUGUGGAUCCCAUCGCAGAAUUGGAAGAAAAUAGAUUUGGUUUUUUUUUCCCUCCCUGCCUUAAAAACUUAAAAACCAAAGGUACGAAAUCAGAUGUGUACCUUCGGAUUUCCAUGCUGUUUUUAAUAAAAGAUUCUCUUUAAGAUGCUCUGGUUGACACUUGGUCUUAAGCUUCAGUGCAAAAAAUCUUUGGUUAGAACUCCAUUUGAAACUACUCUCAAAUCACAGAUCGUGGACAUAUUACAGUUAUAAAUCUGACAUAGUUUAUGGUGCUAACCUCAUUUUUUUUUAAUGAUUGUCUGACAUCCAUGUAGAGAUAAUAUUUCAAAUACUGUAACCUCAAGAUGAUUCCACGCACCAGUUGCAUGAGAUCCAGACGUCUGCACCAUAACUACUGUAUCAUCAGCUCCACAUAAAAAUAUAAGCCGAUGUAGCCUGUAAUCUGAUGGUGCUUUCGAGUGGAUCCAAUGUAAAAAUCACAGAUUCUACCAAGACUCACAAAAUAUACCACCCGCAAAACAUACAGUACCGCCUUCUCUGAAAUCCAUAGUCUGUAUUUGUUUGAGAGGUAAAUUAGGACCAGUGUCAGAUAUUUUUUCACUUAGCUUUUCAAGAACUACUGUAUCUUAAUAUAUAUUUUUUUAUUUAGGGAUUUACACCAUUGUGUUACAUUUGGAUGCUGGAGAAAGUUGCACAGAUUAAAUUUAUCUUUGAAAUGUAGCUGUAGUAAAGAAGGCAUCUUGCUAAGAGGGGAAAAAAGAGAUGGAGAGAAGAACCUUAGCAUACUUGUGCAGACUGGAAUAGUGAACUAUUACUGUACUGAUUUCCUGAAUACAAAAACUUAACAAAAACAAGAUCUGCUGGGUUGUUUAUUUUAUUUUAUUUUUUGCAUUGUUGCUACUUUUUUAAGUGUAUAAUACAAAAAUAUGUCCAAUAUAAUGGUAAUUAUUAAACAGCUCCUAUUUUGUAUUUUCCCCUCUGCAACUACUAUAGAAUAUAGGGCAAAGAUGUGGCUGUUUUAAAGAAGUGCGGGAAAGUGCUAUUUGCCCUCCUAUGCUACAAAGGACAUGUCUAAAAUCAAAUCUGAAGUGAUGUAUACCUAUAGUAACUAUAAUAAAGUAAUUUCUAUUUCAACUCAAUCUUGACUUUGAGAGAUACUUUCAUAUACUUCUUGGCAACAAAAUAAAAAUGAUUUGCUAUUUCCA